rfam:Brachypodium distachyon strain Bd21 chromosome 5, whole genome shotgun sequence.
CACGUGCUUCCUCCAUCCAACGAAGAAUGUCUCAAUUUUGAUUAAAUUUGAAUGCAUCUAUAUGUCCAGAUACAUUCAAAUUUUGACAAACUUGAGACAUUUUUUGUUGGACAGAGUGAGUAUUAA